UAACGUCUCAUAAUAAUAAAAUGGAUUAAAGACAAUAUUUUAUUUCAAAUAAUCAAAAGUCUUUACAAAUUGCCAUCUUCUUUAUGAAUGUGAGAUUAAUUUGACAAACUUUCAUUUAUUUUGUUCCCUUUCACAGCAAAAUUUUUCAUCUACAUCAAUUUUGUAUCAGACCAAAGACAAAGAUCAAGGAUCAAAAGGCCAUGCCAAUGUGAGUAUCCGAUAUUUUCAAAAUUUUUGCUCAUUUUCACAUUUUAUUUAUUCAAAUCACUUUCUUUUGUCAAUAUCAUUGAGAAUUAAAACAUCAUAAAUGCCAAGCUGACUGUUAAAAAUAUGAAAAUAGGAGCUAUUAAGAAACAGAAGAGGAUGGAAAGUGAACCCACCAGCCAGUACAUAGGGUUAACAUUAUCAUAAUACAAUGAUAUAGUGAUUAUUUUGCUAGUUAUGAUCAUCUUGGUACAAGGUAAUUAUGAAUCCACAAGGAAGGAAAGGAUUUGUUCCGUUACUCUGGAUGACCUGCACUCAUCAACCGUACCAGCCAAAAGUAUCAUAAAUAUAAAAAACAAAAUAUAUAUCAAAAGAAUGACUCAAAAUCCUAUGAGAUUCAUUUCAUCUCCACUCUCUGUCUCUUCCCUUGGCACAUUCACCAUACAAAACAACUAAGAUGAAAGCUCGUUGAAAGAUAUCAAGUUGGAAUCCCAUUUUCACUGAUCAUCCAAGUGGAGCAGAUCAUCACCAUCAUCCUAUCAUCUCUCUUCCUCUUAACAAAGUCACCAAAAAACGAUAGUCAUAAUCCAGAUAGAUAUUUCAUAACUAUCAUCAUGACGUUAGGAACAUCUUUUAUUCUUGCUUUCUCUGGAGGGAAUUAAACCUUAAUAUCAUCCAGUAAUGUUAAAUGACUUUAAAACGGACAUUUUCAAUUAACUGGAGGCUUUCUCUUCACCACCUAACCGUAUCAUAAAAUCAUUACUGUUAACUCAAACUUGAUAAUCAUCUGGAGCAGCAAAAUCAACAGCAUCCCUCACCAUUAUCUUCAUCCUCCAUCUCAUAAUCAAAAUACAUAAAAGCAGCAAAAUUUCAUCAAUCUAAUGAUUAUUGGCUUCUAACCUUUUCUAUCUACUUAUUCCCAUUAGUACAUCUUUUCAUCAUUAACCACCUCAUAAUGACUAUGAUCACAUUGAUGAGAUAAUAAGCUGAUGAUUCUUUAAAAUCCCCUGAAUCUAGUUCAAUAUUCAAUUUAAAUUUUCUCUCUUUCGUCUCCGUACUUCAAUCAUUACCCAUCAACCAGGAUUCACCUGGAAAAGACGAUAAUCUGUUUGAAUCAAUGGAAUCACAACACUUUUGACUAACAUUGAAACCCAUUUCACAAUUGUAAUAACUUUUAAUUAUUAUUUUUCCUGUUUUAUCCUUUGCAACAUUUUAAUUGGUAACAAUUAAUUGUGUGUUCAACUUAAAUAUGACAAUAGUUAAUUGGUUGCAGGGUAAAGUUAAUUAACAUUAUCAUUAAUUUGAA